UUCGGUUGAUCCUGCCGGACCCGACUGCUAUUUGGGUGAGGAUAAGCCAUGCGAGUCGAAUGGGAUACCUAAAUUUCCCAUGGCAAACUGCUCAGUAACACAUGAUCAACUUACCCUAUAGUGAAAAAUAACCUCGGGAAACUGAGGAUAAUAUCUCAUAGUUGAAAAGGCUUGGAAAAGUUUUUCAAUGAAAGGAAAAGAAAAAUGGUUUUUUUCCGCUAUAGGAUAGGAUCGUGCUCGAUUAUGGUUGUUGGUGAGGUAACGGCUCACCAAGCCGAUAAUCGAUAGGGGCCGUGAGAGCGGGUGCCCCGAGAUGGGUACUGAGACAACGACCCAGGCCUUACGAGGCGCAGCAGGCGCGAAACCUCCGCAAUACACGAAAGUGUGACGGGGUUACCCAAAGUGUUCAAUUUUGAACUGUGGUAGGUGAGUAAUGUCCCCUACUAGAAAGGAGAGGGCAAGGCUGGUGCCAGCCGCCGCGGUAAAACCAGCUCUUCAAGUGGUCGGGAUAAUUAUUGGGCUUAAAGUGUCCGUAGCCGGUUUAGCAAGUUCCUGGUAAAAUCGGGUAGCUUAACUAUCUGUAUGCUAGGAAUACUGUUAUACUAGAGGGCGGGAGAGGUCUGAGGUACUACAGGGGUAGGGGUGAAAUCUUAUAAUCCUUGUAGGACCACCAGUGGCGAAGGCGUCAGACUGGAACGUGCCUGACGGUGAGGGACGAAAGCCAGGGGAGCGAACCGGAUUAGAUACCCGGGUAGUCCUGGCCGUAAACGAUGCAUACUAGGUGAUGGCACGGCCAUGAGCCGUGUCAGUGCCGUAGGGAAACCGUUAAGUGUGCCGCCUGGGAAGUACGGUCGCAAGGCUAAAACUUAAAGGAAUUGGCGGGGGAGCACCACAAGGGGUGAAGCCUGCGGUUCAAUUGGAUUCAACGCCGGGA
rnacentral:rRNA from 1 species